rnacentral:rRNA from 1 species
AGGGGUUUGAUCAAUGGGGCUCAGAAUCAACGCUGGCGGCGUGCCUAACACAUGCAAGUCGAACGCGAAAGCGGCUUCGGCCGUAAGUAGAGUGGCAAACGGGUGAGUAACGCGUGGGUGACCUACCUUCGAGUGGGGGAUAACGUUUCGAAAGGAACGCUAAUACCGCAUGACAUCCUGUCUUUGGAAAGACGGUGAUCAAAGCCGGGGAUCGCAAGACCUGGCGCUUGUUGAGGGGCCCGCGUCCGAUUAGCUUGUUGGCGGGGUAAAAGCCCACCAAGGCGACAAUCGGUAGCCGGCCUGAGAGGGCGGACGGCCACACUGGGACUGAGACACGGCCCAGACUCCUACGGGAGGCAGCAGUGGGGAAUUGUUCGCAAUGGGCGCAAGCCUGACGACGCAACGCCGCGUGGAGGACGAAGACCUUCGGGUCGUAAACUCCUGUCGAGUGGGACGAAUACCAAUCGGGUUAAUACCCCGGAUGGCUGACGGUACCGCUAAAGGAAGCCCCGGCUAACUCCGUGCCAGCAGCCGCGGUAAUACGGGGGGGGCAAGCGUUGUUCGGAUUUACUGGGCGUAAAGAGCUCGUAGGCGGCUUGUUUAGUCGGACGUGAAAUCCCUCGGCUCAACUGAGGAACUGCGUCCGAUACUGGCAGGCUUGAAUCCGGGAGAGGGNAUGCGGAAUUCCAGGUGUAGCGGUGAAAUGCGUAGAUAUCUGGAGGAACACCGGUGGCGAAGGCGGCAUCCUGGACGGUAUUNGACGCUGAAGGAGCGAAAGCUAGGGUAGC